rnacentral:rRNA from 1 species
CCUACGGGAGGCAGCAGUGGGGAAUAUUGCACAAUGGGGGAAACCCUGAUGCAGCGACGCCGCGUGAGUGAAGAAGGAUUUCGGUACGUAAAGCUCUAUCAGCAGGGAAGAAAAUGACGGUAUCUGACUAAGAUGCGCCGGCUAACUACGUGCCAGCAGCCGCGGUAAUACGUAGGGGGCGAGCGUUAUCCGGAUUUACUGGGUGUAAAGGGAGCGUAGACGGCAGCGCAAGUCUGGAGUGAAAUCCCAUGGCUUAACCAUGGAACUGCUUUGGAAACUGUGCAGCUAGAGUGCAGGAGAGGUAAGCGGAAUUCCUAGUGUAGCGGUGAAAUGCGUAGAUAUUAGGAGGAACACCAGUGGCGAAGGCGGCUUACUGGACUGUAACUGACGUUGAGGCUCGAAAGCGUGGGGAGCAAACAGGAUUAGAUACCCCAGUAGUC